rnacentral:rRNA from 1 species
GUAGGGAAUCUUCCACAAUGGACGAAAGUCUGAUGGAGCAACGCCGCGUGAGUGAAGAAGGUUUUCGGAUCGUAAAACUCUGUUGUUGGAGAAGAAUGUAUCUGAUAGUAACUGAUCAGGUAGUGACGGUAUCCAACCAGAAAGCCACGGCUAACUACGUGCCAGCAGCCGCGGUAAUACGUAGGUGGCAAGCGUUGUCCGGAUUUAUUGGGCGUAAAGCGAGCGCAGGCGGUUUCUUAAGUCUGAUGUGAAAGCCUUCGGCUCAACCGAAGAAGUGCAUCGGAAACUGGGAAACUUGAGUGCAGAAGAGGACAGUGGAACUCCAUGUGUAGCGGUGAAAUGCGUAGAUAUAUGGAAGAACACCAGUGGCGAAGGCGGCUGUCUGGUCUGUAACUGACGCUGAGGCUCGAAAGCAUGGGUAGCAAACAGGAUUAGAAACCCUAGUAGUCC